CUUGUUCACAGUACGAGCAGCCCUUAGCGGCUCGCCGUCUCACAAGUGUUCAUGACGUCGCCUUUCCGGCUUAGAUCUUUAACAUUCUGGCUGAAAAUAAAAUCAUCUUCAUGAACUUUUAAAAGAUGAAAACUUCAAUCAUUCUUGGUGUACUGCAUAUGCUGUUCGGAGUUCUUCUGAGUCUUUGGAAUCACUUGUGAGGUUUCACAGCAGGCCCUGCGUGUGCUCCAUCAAUGUUAAUCACUUUCAUCAAUAUGGUAUUGUUCAAAGGUAGUGUUCCUCCCAAAGGUUGUGAUGAGUUCAUGUAUAGUGGACAGAAAGGCUUGCAGAGGUUCUUUGUUGUUCUUGCUCUACUGUGUGUUGCUUGGAUGCUUCUUGCAAAACCCAUUGUUUUGAUAAUGAGGCACUGCAAAGUCCACCAAACGCUUUCAAGCCAUCUCGUACCUGCAGAGAACGGCAUGGAUGCGGAGGUGGGAUCGAUGUCAGGGACAGCACACAAGGACAGUGCAGAUGGGGCUCCCGCACCACGGAGCAGUGAAGACCACAACCUUGGAGAAAUCUUCAUCCAUCAGGGCAUCCACACGAUAGAGUACGUGCUAGGCUCUGUCUCUCACACUGCCUCUUAUCUGUGACUUUGGGCACUGUCACUGGCGCACGUCCAGGUGUCUGAGGUGCUGUGGAGUAUGGUGAUGAAGAAUGGACUGGUAGUGGAGGGCUGGACUGGAGGCUUUGCCCUACGGCUGGUAUUUGCCUUCUGGGCAGUGCUUACCGUGGGCAUCUUGGUGCUUAUGGAGGGACUAUCUGCAUUCCUCCACACAUUGCGGCUUCACUGAUGAGUGCCCUGUCAAUAGAGUAAAUGUUCUACAAACGUUUAGUUAGUAGCCAUGGCUAUACAGCACAAGCGUAAAUUGGUCAUAAGCAGUUGUAAAGUGUCAGCAUGAGUAUUGAAUUUUUGAAACAAUUGCCCAUUAUUAAAUUAGUUGAAAUGUACAGUGAACAGCAGAAAGAGUAAAGGUGCCCCAUCACUGUGUAAUAGGGGCAUUCAGCGGUAGAUGAGCACUUAAAAGGAGAGAUCCUCGGUGGUGAGAUAGACUUUUUGUGAAACCAUCUGUAUGAUGAUGUAGGUUAUGAUACCAGGUAUUGCACUUGCAGUCAUUCACCUCGGUGGGACCCAGUCUGAGAGUAAUCAAUGGAAAAAGAAAUCAGAAUUUUAUGUGACACUCAAUAGAAUUAAAGUAUAAUAGUAUAAUAUUAGCUGGUUACAUGGCGUAACGACUAG